CGAUGUCCACUUACCGCCUGGUUUCAAGACUCCCAAAUUUGAAAAGUAUGAUGGACAUGGAGAUCCUAUAGCCCACCUGAAAAGGUAUUGCAAUCAACUGAGAGGUGCGAGAAGAAAUGAAGAAUUGUUGGUGGCUUAUUUUGGGGAAAGCCUUACGAGAAUAGCCUCCAAAUGGUUUAAGAUCAAGACACGUCUCGCUGGUAUGUCUGGGAUGACAAGGCACAAGCCUUUAUCAAACAGUUCCAAUACAGCAUUGACAUUGCCCCAGACCGCAAUUUCCUUUCAAACUUGAAGAAGAAACCAACUGAAAGUUUCAGGGAAUAUGCCAUUAAAUGAGAGAGCAAGCAGCCAGAGUUAAGCCACCCAUAGAUGAGCAUGAGUUAAUCACUGUCUUCCUUCAGGCUCAAGAGCCAGAUUAUUUUCAAAACAUGAAGUCCGCAGUGGGUAAAUCCUUCUCGGAAGCAAUCAAAAUGAGAGAAAUGGUAGAGAAUGGUCUUAAGACAGGCAAAAUUAUAAGUCAAGCAGUUUUUAAAGCCGCAACUCAGGCUGUCCGGGUUGAGUCUGAUAAUUUUAGCGACACAAAUAAGAAGGUUGAAGAAAUCAUGAUGAUAUCAGGGUCGAGAAGAUGUCCCAGGAGAACAUCUCAAAGGUAUGAGCAGCCUCCUCAAGUUUUCCAUAACUCCCCUGAGCAGUAUUAUCCACCUUAGAACCCUCAAUACUCUGUCGCUCCACCUCAGUAUGUUGUCCAGCCACCAAAACACCCCAGAAGGCGAGCACGAGCAUCACGAAAUCUCCAACAGCCUCCACAAAAUUUUCAAAUGCCCUAUAACCCACAUCAAAACUAGGGGUAUAGAAGGGAACAAAGGCUGAAUGAUAAUUUUACACCAAUAAGAGAGUCCUAUGCAAGCUUGUUUGAGAAAUUAAAGCAGUAUGACAUGAUUGCACCUAUUCCUCCAAAUCAUGUGGACUCACAUGCAAGAAGCUCUGACCCUUCUAAAAGGUGUGAAUACCAUUUCAAUGCCCAGAGGCACAAUGUUGAAAGCUGUCAGGAUUUGAAAAGAGAAAUAGAAAGGAUGAUUUAGGAAACCUGAUUGUGAUCCAAGAUAGUGACACCCAGAAUAUCGCGCAGAAUCCUUUACCUGCACAUGGUGAUGCCCACUUUGUGGGGAUGAUGCGUGGUGACAGGGAGUAUGAGAAUCCUCUCGGGAAUUUGCUAACUGAAGUUAAUGAUUUUGAAAUUGGAGAAGGCUCUGCUGAUCCUGAUGAGCAAAUUUGUGGCUAAAUGUCAAGCUUAGCAAUUGAAAAGUCAUUCCGUCCUCACUAGGAAGGAAUCUUGGUAGUUUGUUUUGAUGUUUUUUCUAUUAUCGGGGUUGUUUCAGGGUUGUGAUUCAGAUUUUAUUUGUUUUAUUGAGUCAAACCCUUCUAUCCUCCCAUUCUGUUUGUGUGAGUCUUGUCUGUCUAUUCUGUUGCCAUUUUCAUUAUUCGGGUUAUUUUAGGGUUAUAACUCGUAUUUUAGGUUGCUUGUCUAGUUGUAAAACCCUUUCAUCCUUUACUCAAUAAAAUACAGUUUGUCUUUUUGUGUCAUUCUGUUCCUAGUUCUUUUCUCGCUAGUUCUAAUGACAUGACAUGCAUGCGGAAAUUUUGGCCAGAUCUUAGAAACUGAUUUAAUCUGGAAUUCGAUAACUAAAAAAAUACUUUUGAGGAUGAAUAAAGAGUUGGAAUACUUUGGAACUAAGGUCGAGUAAAAUUCACCUUCAAAUUAUUGUGAAGAUCGGGCUUGAGGAUGUUUAAUCAAUUGAUGUUUGUUGGAAAGUUGUUACUAAGGGAUGAAAAAAUGUC
rnacentral:lncRNA from 1 species